GCCGGGCAAGGUGGUGCACACCUGUAAUCCCAGCAGCUCGGGAGGCUGAGGCAGGAGGAUUGUGAGUUCAAACCCAGCCUCAG
rnacentral:sRNA from 1 species